GAUGAACGCUGGCGGCGUGCCUAAUACAUGCAAGUCGAGCGAACGGACGAGAAGCUUGCUUCUCUGAUGUUAGCGGCGGACGGGUGAGUAACACGUGGAUAACCUACCUAUAAGACUGGGAUAACUUCGGGAAACCGGAGCUAAUACCGGAUAAUAUUUUGAACCGCAUGGUUCAAAAGUUAAAUACGGUCUUGCUGUCACUUAUAGAUGGAUCCGCGCUGCAUUAGCUAGUUGGUAAGGUAACGGCUUACCAAGGCAACGAUGCAUAGCCGACCUAAUAGGGUAAUCGGCAACAGUGAACUGAGACACGGUCCAGACUCCUACGGGAGGCAGCAGUAGGGAAUCUUCCGCAAUGGGCGAAAGCCUGACGGAGCAAAGCCGCGUGAGUGAUGAAGGUCUUCGGAUCGUAAAACUCUGUUAUUAGGGAAGAACAUAUGUGUAAGUAACUGUGCACAUCUUGACGGUACCUAAUCAGAAAGCCACGGCUAACUACGUG
rnacentral:rRNA from 1 species